rnacentral:lncRNA from 1 species
UUUUCUCUCUUUUAACUUUGGUUUUUAGUCUGUUGAAUGUGUUUUUUUCUGAAAAAGUUUUUAUCUUUGGUGCUGGAUACAAAAAAAGUAAUAUUUUAAGUGGCAGCUAGUAAAUUAUCUCUUAGGAGAUGCGAAAAUGGCCGUGUACAUCAGCCGGAGAAAUAAGGUGGAGGGCAGAGCAGGGCAUGAGGCCCCUCCUGUGUUCCUCUGUAACGUCAGAGCCAGAGUCUGGCUGGAGUAUACGUUUUAUAAGGCGUUUGGGGAUGUAGAUGCAGAUUUUAAACAGCGCCGGUGUUACAAUAAUAUUAUUUGCUUUGUUGAAAAUGAUGAGUUGCACUUUGCACAGGAUUUUGUUGGAUAAACCAACAAUUUUUAAAGACUGAACAAAUAGCACAUUUCCUGAUGUAUUGUACUCUCGGUUGAUUGUAAAAAAAAGUGUUUUUGAAAAAUCGCAAGGAGGGUCCGCGAGGACGUGAGGGGUCCGUAGACCCUCUUGGGCUGCGUCGACGUGGGACCACGAUCAGCCCCUAACAGAUCCUUGGUUGGACCCCCCUCCCAGACCACGGGGCUGGGGUCCCGGCGCGGGGGGGUGGCGGCGGCCGUCCCCCUGGGGGGCCCCAACACCAGCGAGCUCUGCAUGUGGUCCGAGUCCCACCACCACCUGGACGGCAUCCCCCAGAACCCCCACCACCUGGAGAGGGUCCCAGGGGGCAGGUCAGCGUGUUGCGGGUGCUAGACUGGAUGCCUGGACUCUCCUCAUGGAUAAUCGGCCAGAACCCCAUCACCAUUUUUUAAAUGUUGUACAUGUAUUUACCUGUGUGUCAAUUGUGGCACCCAUUGCACUCCUGACCAUCCCUGGAAGAAGGGAUCCCCUACACUGCGUUUCUUCUCAAGAUUUCUUCCUUGCUGAUUCAAGGGAGUUUUUUCUUGCCCGUGUGGGGGCAUGGGUAAAGGGGGGUGUCACAAAUAUUUGGCCUGUUAAGCCCUUUGAGACUGUAAUGGUGAUUAAGGGCUAUACAAAUAAAAUUGAAUUGAAUUGAAUUGAAUUAAAGCGUACCCCCCUAAAGGGAUCCUGCACAUGCGUGACCCGGGGAUGGAGGCAGCCUGGGCGCUACUCGACGGAGCCGGAAACUAAAAGGCACUCUCUUUAAAUGUCUUGCACACACACAAUCAUAAACACAUGCUCUAACGUACAUGCAUGCACGCACACACAAAGAAGCACACACAUUUGUUGGAUUAUUCACACUGCAGUUUCUCUGACUGGACUUUGAAAGGAUAACAUCGUUAUGACAUAAUCAAUACUGAAUGUGUACAAUGUCAAUGUGUCUAUGAGCUCAGCUAAUACUCAUAAUGCAGAUCCUAAUCCCCUUUUUAAAGUGUACGAAUAUUAAGGUGGCACCAAACCAAAACAUCUACCCACCCAACCUUUGAACCAAAAUGACCACCAUCAUCCUCCUUAUUCAAGUAAAAUAAGAAUCUUUAUAUAUAUAUAUAUAUAUAUAUAUAU